CAGUGCGAGAGGAAGAUGAAGGUGGCUGUGCUCAGCGUGGCCCUGCUCUUCUCCAUCCUGCUGUGCCCCCCAGCACAGGCCAAGGCACUCCUGGAAGGAACCCAAGAUGAUCUCCAGGAGGUGGAUGUAGUCAAUGUCGACAUCCUGAAGACACCUCAGCCUGCUCUGGAUGAAAAGCUGGAGGCUCUUCUGCGGCAGAAGCGCCUGGCUGCUGCUCUACAUGGAUAGAUUGAACCAGGUGGGGAAAACCAUGUCCUGUCCCCCUCCAGUGGAAUGAGGAGAUGAUGAUCAUCCCUGGAGGAAUCGCCUGAUCCCCUGUGAGCCCUGGGCCUUUUUCCUCAAAUGGCCAAUAAACCCCUUCAGCAAAU